CUCCGUACCGGGGCCGCGUCCAGGUCUCCCCCAGCGACUCCCACAGCGACAUCUCCUUGGGGACCAGAUGGCCGCGCAGGAAGCCCACGGCGUCGCGGGAGAGCCCAGGGCUGGUGACCGAGCGCGCGAGGUCCGGGCCUCCGCAGGUGUUGACGAUCUGGGGCACAGCGCGGGUCAGAUCGCGGCCCACACAGCCGCCGGUGCGAGCUCCGAGCUCUGCAGGAGGGCGCGGGGCAGGGACCACGCCCUGGGCGGCCGGGGACAGGGCCACGCAGACGCGCGCCUGGCGCUGCCCCGUCACCCAGACCCGUUCCUCGGCCCCACCCACAACCGGCCCCGCCCACUCCCAUCCCCUGGCCUCGGGCCCCGCCCCGCCCCGCCCCAGGCACCAGGUCCAGCGGGCCGAAGAGGAAGUGCACCAGCUCCGCGGCGCUGGGGUUCUGGAUGUGCUUUUGCAGCUUUGCCUGGCGGGGCGAGGACAGGGCAAGGGAUCGAACUCAGAGGCAGGCAGCAGAACCACUGAGCUAAAUCCCCACCCAGUGAUUUUCAUUUCUGACAACGUGAUUGUGCAGCAGGCGGCGAAACCACUGAGCUAAAUCCCCGGGCCUCUUCUUAAAAUAAUUCACGAAGCAGAGGAGCAGAGGAGCAGAGGUGGCUGUGAUCUACAGGAUCUCAUUUACAGACAAAACUGUAGUGAUGGGGGACACGGCAGUUGCCAGAGACUGGGGAGGGGUGGCUGUGACCACAGAGGGUUUCAAAGGAGGAUGGACUGGUGGUGGAGCUGCUGUGUGCCCAGGUCACCAUGGUAACAGAACCACACACCCCCCCAUUUACUGUAGGAAGUUAGAAAAGAAAUAAACAUGGGCUUCUUUGCACGCCCUCCCAUUGUCAAGAUGGGUCUUGUGCCCUCAGGAAAACUCCACCUACUCCCCCACCCUAGCUGGCCCCUGGGUGAGUAAAAAGGUCCCUGCAACAGCAGAGCCAAGGCAGGCCAGCUUGGACCAAAGUCCAGGAGCCAGGCAGGGUCCAGGAGCCAGGCAGGGAAGCCACGGUGGCUGCUCAACAAGGAGGACAAAGUCCCUCUCCCGAGAAAGGGGCAGAGCUGCCAGGAAGGAAGAGCCAAAGCUGCCUUGUCCACAGCUCUGUGUCCUGUCCAGGGCACCGAGCCAGCAGCAGGAAGGACCUUGGUCACCCCAACAUGCUGGCCUGGAGAUGUGUGUGGAUUUCUGAGGGCUCUAUGGAC
rnacentral:lncRNA from 1 species